CCUACGGGAGGCAGCAGUGGGGAAUAUUGGGCAAUGGAGGCAACUCUGACCCAGCAACGCCGCGUGAAUGAUGAAGGUCUUCGGAUUGUAAAGUUCUGUGAUGGGGGAUGAACACAAUGACGGUACCCCAAUAGCAAGCCACGGCUAACUACGUGCCAGCAGCCGCGGUAAUACGUAGGUGGCAAGCGUUAUCCGGAAGGACUGGGCGUAAGGGGUGCGUAGGUGGUUUAGUAAGUUGGCGGUGUAAUUCCGGGGCUCAACCUCGGCGCUACCGCCAAAACUAUUAGACUAGAGUGCAGGAGGGGUAAGUGGAAUUCUUAGUGUAGCGGUGGAAUGCGUAGAUAUUAGGAGGAACAUCAGGGGCGAAGGCGACUUACUGGACUGUAAAUGACACUGAGGCACGAAAGCGUGGGGAGCAAACAGGAUUAGAUACCCGAGUAGUC
rnacentral:rRNA from 1 species